UGCCAGCAGCCGCGGUAAUACGGAGGGGGUUAGCGUUGUUCGGAAUCACUGGGCAUAAAGAGCGCGUAGGUGGCUUGGUCAGCGGAGAAUGAAAGCUCAUGGCUCACCCAUGGAAUUGUUCUUCGAACUGCCAGGCUUGAGGGUGAGAGGGGGAAGUGGAAUUCCUGGUGUAGCGGUGAAAUGCGUAGAUAUCAGGAGGAACACCGGUGGCGAAAGCGACUUCCUGGCUCAUCCCUGACACUGAGGCGCGAAAGCUAGGGGAGCAAACAGGAUUCGAUA
rnacentral:rRNA from 1 species